rnacentral:rRNA from 1 species
GACGAACGCUGGCGGCGUGCUUAACACAUGCAAGUCGAACGGAAAGGCCCUGCUUUUGUGGGGUGCUCGAGUGGCGAACGGGUGAGUAACACGUGAGUAACCUGCCCUUGACUUUGGGAUAACUUCAGGAAACUGGGGCUAAUACCGGAUAGGAGCUCCUGCUGCAUGGUGGGGGUUGGAACGUUUCGGCAGUUGGGGAUGGACUCGCGGCUUAUCAGCUUGUUGGUGGGGUAGUGGCUUACCAAGGCUUUGACGGGUAGCCGGCCUGAGAGGGUGACCGGCCACAUUGGGACUGAGAUACGGCCCAGACUCCUACGGGAGGCAGCAGUGGGGAAUAUUGCACAAUGGGCGGAAGCCUGAUGCAGCAACGCCGCGUGCGGGAUGACGGCCUUCGGGUUGUAAACCGCUUUCGCCUGUGACGAAGCGUGAGUGACGGUAAUGGGUAAAGAAGCACCGGCUAACUACGUG